rnacentral:rRNA from 2 species
AAAUUGAAGAGUUUGAUCAUGGCUCAGAUUGAACGCUGGCGGCAGGCCUAACACAUGCAAGUCGAACGGUAACAGGAAGCAGCUUGCUGCUUUGCUGACGAGUGGCGGACGGGUGAGUAAUGUCUGGGAAACUGCCUGAUGGAGGGGGAUAACUACUGGAAACGGUGGCUAAUACCGCAUAACGUCGCAAGACCAAAGAGGGGGACCUUCGGGCCUCUUGCCAUCAGAUGUGCCCAGAUGGGAUUAGCUAGUUGGUGAGGUAACGGCUCACCAAGGCGACGAUCCCUAGCUGGUCUGAGAGGAUGACCAGCCACACUGGAACUGAGACACGGUCCAGACUCCUACGGGAGGCAGCAGUGGGGAAUAUUGCACAAUGGGCGCAAGCCUGAUGCAGCCAUGCCGCGUGUAUGAAGAAGGCCUUCGGGUUGUAAAGUACUUUCAGCGGGGAGGAAGGUGUUGUGGUUAAUAACCUCAGCAAUUGACGUUACCCGCAGAAGAAGCACCGGCUAACUCCGUGCCAGCAGCCGCGGUAAUACGGAGGGUGCAAGCGUUAAUCGGAAUUACUGGGCGUAAAGCGCACGCAGGCGGUCUGUCAAGUCGGAUGUGAAAUCCCCGGGCUCAACCUGGGAACUGCAUUCGAAACUGGCAGGCUUGAGUCUUGUAGAGGGGGGUAGAAUUCCAGGUGUAGCGGUGAAAUGCGUAGAGAUCUGGAGGAAUACCGGUGGCGAAGGCGGCCCCCUGGACAAAGACUGACGCUCAGGUGCGAAAGCGUGGGGAGCAAACAGGAUUAGAUACCCUGGUAGUCCACGCCGUAAACGAUGUCUACUUGGAGGUUGUGCCCUUGAGGCGUGGCUUCCGGAGCUAACGCGUUAAGUAGACCGCCUGGGGAGUACGGCCGCAAGGUUAAAACUCAAAUGAAUUGACGGGGGCCCGCACAAGCGGUGGAGCAUGUGGUUUAAUUCGAUGCAACGCGAAGAACCUUACCUGGUCUUGACAUCCACAGAAGAAUCCAGAGAUGGAUUUGUGCCUUCGGGAACUGUGAGACAGGUGCUGCAUGGCUGUCGUCAGCUCGUGUUGUGAAAUGUUGGGUUAAGUCCCGCAACGAGCGCAACCCUUAUCCUUUGUUGCCAGCGAUUAGGUCGGGAACUCAAAGGAGACUGCCAGUGAUAAACUGGAGGAAGGUGGGGAUGACGUCAAGUCAUCAUGGCCCUUACGACCAGGGCUACACACGUGCUACAAUGGCGCAUACAAAGAGAAGCGACCUCGCGAGAGCAAGCGGACCUCAUAAAGUGCGUCGUAGUCCGGAUUGGAGUCUGCAACUCGACUCCAUGAAGUCGGAAUCGCUAGUAAUCGUGGAUCAGAAUGCCACGGUGAAUACGUUCCCGGGCCUUGUACACACCGCCCGUCACACCAUGGGAGUGGGUUGCAAAAGAAGUAGGUAGCUUAACCUUCGGGAGGGCGCUUACCACUUUGUGAUUCAUGACUGGGGUGAAGUCGUAACAAGGUAACCGUAGGGGAACCUGCGGUUGGAUCACCUCCUUACCUUAAAGAAGC